rnacentral:rRNA from 1 species
UGGGGAAUAUUGCACAAUGGGCGAAAGCCUGAUGCAGCGACGCCGCGUGAGGGAUGACGGCCUUCGGGUUGUAAACCUCUUUCAGCAGGGAAGAAGCCACAAGUGACGGUACCUGCAGAAGAAGCGCCGGCUAACUACGUGCCAGCAGCCGCAGUAAUACGUAGGGCGCAAGCGUUGUCCGGAAUUAUUGGGCAUAAAGAGCUCGUAGGCGGUUUGUCGCGUCUGCUGUGAAAGCCCGGGGCUUAACCCCGGGUGUGCAGUGGGUACGGGCAGACUAGAGUGCAGUAGGGGAGACUGGAAUUCCUGGUGUAGCGGUGGAAUGCGCAGAUAUCAGGAGGAACACCGAUGGCGAAGGCAGGUCUCUGGGCUGUUACUGACGCUGAGGAGCGAAAGCAUGGGGAGCGAACA